GCUGGGCGUGGUGGCUCACGCCUGUAAUCCUAGCACUUUGGGAGGCUGAGGUGGGUGGAUCACCUGAGGUCAGGAGUUCAAGACCAGCCUGGCCAAUAUGGUGAAACCCCGUCUCUA
rnacentral:SRP_RNA from 1 species